UUUGAUAAUGAGACAUUCUAGUUGACAAUCUACUCGGUUAGAUUUGAUUUAUAUACUAUUUAAAAUAUUUAAAAACUACAUUUCAUAAUUUUUUAAUAUUAUCGACUUAGCGAUUGAAAGGUCACAAAAUUCAACUAUUUUAAUUAUUGGUAUGAGACGAUUGCCAGUUUAACAGCGUAGAAAUAUUCAAAUUUGAUAUGAUUUUUUUUUUCUAUCUAAAGUAUAAUAAUAUCUUUGAUAUAAAAUUUAAGUUUUCUAUAAUUAUUUUUUAUAAAAUUUUUAUUUUUAAUCAUUUAUUUUUAAGUCACUCGAUGAAAAGAUAAAUAG
rnacentral:lncRNA from 1 species